AAGCAUGAAGUGAAGAGGAAAGGAAAGACCACAAACCCUAUGUGGGAAAAUUGAAGAAAAGUGUGGGAUUUCAAGGGAUUAAGCUAAUAAAGGUAAAAUUUUGUGAUUUUAUCUUGUGAUUUACAUUACCCAUGCUUUCUUUUUCAUUUUCCAUGCUUAGAACUCAAGUUUACAUGAUGAACCCAUGUUGGCUGAAUUUGAGAGGAGAGGUUUUGAGCAUUGAUUUUGCUAGAUUUCAAGCUAAUUAAGUGUUUUUGGUUGUUUGGUAAUGAAAAGUAUGAAAAUCUAGCAAGGAAUCACUUUGUUCUUCACAAACUCACAAGAGGCCAAAUUUUCUAGGGAGCAUAUUGAGGCUGAAAUUGAUGAUAUUUCACGAUAUUUUGGUGGUAUUUAAUGAUUGGUGAGGCUAGAAAUUUAAUGGGAAAUUUUGGCAUGAAAAUCUGAAUUUUUACCUAAUGUAUAGACAUGUGCGAUUUAUGGUUCGGACUAAUAAAUUGAAUCAUAUUCAUAGUCAUUGAGGUAUUUUAAGUAUAAUUGGAGUGUAGAAAGUGAAAGAAAUCGAUUUGGAGUUAAAUUGGAGGUUUUAGCCAAUUACAUUGAGAAUAGUGCGAAUUAGGUCGAAUACCGUAUUUAAACAGCUAUUCGGACAUUUUGCAUCACAUUUCGUGCAUUCAUAUAAAGAUAUAGAGCCUGAAAUAGUUUAUGAUAAAUUGACACAAUUUAUUGAAAUUCGUGUCACGUAUGAUAAAUAGGUGGUGAGCCCUCUAAUAAAGGUAAAGAGAUUGUGCCCGAAGAUCGGGAAUAGAAGUAUAUCGAACUCCUAGUACUGUGAGUAAACUUACUAUCGUCUUAAUUAUCUAAAGUAUGUUUUAUCCGAUUUUGUGACUUUUAUGGAAAAUGAAUUAAAUGAUUAAUUUUUCGAUUUUAUAAACAAAAUGUGAUUUAAUGAAAUGAUUUCAUAAAAUUGUUUUAAAAUUGAAUGAUGGUUUGAAAAUAGAGUAAUUGGAGACUGUUUUCAUGUGUUGUAAAUUCAUGGCUUGAAUCAAAUGGCUUAUGACAAUAUUUGCAUGAAUGGCUGAAUUGGUAUUUGUGUUGAAAUAUAUAUGAAUUAUGUAUUUAGCCUUGAAAGGUUGUGAAUUACAAUAAUUGUCAUAUCAUGUUAUUGAAUUUUAUUGAUUGGUGAGAUAAUUAUUAGCUUACUGCAGUGAGCGAGUUUCGUGGACCAGUCUAUUAGAGGGGCACGAUAACCUCGUUAUAUCUUACCUUAGUAUGAGAGGCACGGGUGGUUAACUCCUGAGGUUAACACUUUUAGAGUUCACUUCACGUCAAACCACCACUUGAGUGGGAACUCAGCCAAUGCCAAGGAACGGCUAUGUUUUCAAAAUAAAAACAUGAUUUAUGCGUACAUAACUUUUUAACAGCCUUGGCAGACUCGGUUUGGGAUAGCCGUCGGCCAAGGUAUCCCUAAUGACUGAUUAUGAUAAUGAUUUUGGCACAAGCCAAAGUUUUAAGAAAUUCAUAAGCCAUGUUAAUUAGUCGAUUUAUAUGAAUUGAUUUUAUUUGGUUGAAACAAGUUGAAAGGUGAUGAAUUUUAGUAUGUUAAACUAUUUUAUCUGUCUCAAUUUACUCGACUUUAGAUGGUUUAGAUGGUAUCUGUUUACUCAUUGGGAUUUUAUAAUCUCACCACCCUUCUUUUCAACCAUUUCAGGCCCGAGGUAGCCUGUGGAUAGCAGAAAUUUUCAAGGAUUAUAGUCGGCUUUACUACUCCAAAAACUGUGGGUUUACUGCCUUUGUGCAUUUUUGUUCCUUGUGGGCCCACGAGUCACUGUAAAGUAAAUUUCAUAUCCCGGUUAUCUGUAUUAUAGUAUGUAUGAAUUUAUUUAUCUUUUACAUUACAAAAAUAAUUU
rnacentral:lncRNA from 1 species